rnacentral:lncRNA from 1 species
UUGCAAACUCCAUUAGAAAUUUGAAUUGAGAUCAGUUUUGAAAAAGGGAAAGGGGGAUGUGAAAAAAAAAUGGUGGGGGGGGGGGGGGUAAAUUUUUCUCAUUUCAGAUUUCAUAAAUAAAAGAAAAUUUCUUCAAACAUUUUUUGAGAGGAUUAAUAUUCAACAGCAUAGUGAUUGCUCAAAGACAAAAAAAUUAUUUUAAGUUCAUUAGACCACAUUCAUUCUGUGUCCAAAACCUAUGCUGUGUCAACUAUUUAAUCACAAUCCAAUUAAUUAAGCUGAAUCCAGUUUGAAUGUUGUGUCCAUACUUGCCCCA